CCUACGGGUGGCAGCAGUGGGGGAUAUUGCACAAUGGGGGAAACCCUGAUGCAGCGACGCCGCGUGAGUGAAGAAGUAUUUCGGUAUGUAAAGCUCUAUCAGCAGGAAAGAUAAUGACGGUACCUGACUAAGAAGCACCGGCUAAAUACGUGCCAGCAGCCGCGGUAAUACGUAUGGUGCAAGCGUUAUCCGGAUUUACUGGGUGUAAAGGGAGCGCAGACGGCAUGGCAAGCCAGAUGUGAAAGGUGGGGGCUCAACCCCCAAGCUGCAUUUGGAACUGUCAAGCUAGAGUAUCGGAGAGGUAAGUGGAAUUCCUAGUGUAGCGGUGAAAUGCGUAGAUAUUAGGAGGAACACCAGUGGCGAAGGCGGCUUACUGGACGAUAACUGACGUUGAGGCUCGAAAGCGUGGGGAGCAAACAGGAUUAGAUACCCGAGUAGUC
rnacentral:rRNA from 1 species